CAUAACCUGACUCUGUUGCCAUGUAUUAUAGGACAUGGUUUGCCUGUUCUAAAUGAAGAAGGUAAUUUGGCAUCUUCAGAAGCUGACAAUGGAAGUUGGAUCUCUGGAUCUUCAUCUUCUGAGCAGCUUGCAUCUAGUGGGGUUAGCAAAUGCACGCUUUGCCUGAGUAAUCGUCAACACCCAACAGCUACUUCCUGUGGCCAUGUAUUUUGCUGGAACUGUAUCACAGAAUGGUGCAACGAAAAGCCAGAGUGCCCUCUUUGCCGUACCCCUAUAACACACUCAAGUCUAGUUUGUAUUUAUCAUUCAGAUUUCUAGAAUAUGUUUCUCAUGGGCUGUAGUCUUUUGUAAAUGGAAAGAAGAUAGCAUGAAAGGUAAUUGCAGCAAUUUCACAUCAAAAUUGGCUCACCUCUAUGCUGCUACUUCUGUUCAAGCUUAUGAUCUUUCUUAGGCUUCCAUACUGGUGCUAUUUUUGCUACUGUCUAAGAAAAGUUAGCUAUUUCAAAGUUGUAGCUUUGAUUUAUCGCUGAACAAUUUUCAUUGGUGUCAAUAUACUGUCUCAGAUUUGGUAUGCAAUGAAAAGAGAAAGGAAACACACGAGGUG